rfam:Astyanax mexicanus chromosome 17, whole genome shotgun sequence.
GUUCACCAUUAUUGUAAGUCGCUUUGGAUAAAAGCGUCUGCCAAAUGCAAUGUA